GAAACAUUGAAACAGGAAACCUCUUUGCGGGGAAAUACAAUAAUUUCUCUGGAAUCCAAGAUGAGCUGCCUGCAGGAUCUGUUGCAACAGCCACUUUUCUGGAGCAUUUUAACAAUUUAUUUGAUUUACUUAAUGCGCAUGCAUUCACCAGACUGGCAAGAAGGGAAGCAAUCAGUGUGUAUAAUAUUAAUUAAAAGAUUUUGUUUAAUAGAGAACAGAAGGUUCUCCACUGAAUCUGCCUAGUAAAGGCUGCCAAAAAAAAAUAAAAAUAUUAAAAAAUUCAUA